CGUGGGGAAUCUGCCUUUGAGCGGGGGACAACCUUUGGAAACGAAUGCUAAUACCGCAUAAAAACUUUAAACACAAGUUUUAAGUUUGAAAGAUGCAAUUGCAUCACUCAAAGAUGAUCCCGCGUUGUAUUAGCUAGUUGGUGAGGUAAAGGCUCACCAAGGCGAUGAUACAUAGCCGACCUGAGAGGGUGAUCGGCCACAUUGGGACUGAGACACGGCCCAAACUCCUACGGGAGGCAGCAGUAGGGAAUCUUCGGCAAUGGACGAAAGUCUGACCGAGCAACGCCGCGUGAGUGAAGAAGGUUUUCGGAUCGUAAAACUCUGUUGGUAGAGAAGAACGUUGGUGAGAGUGGAAAGCUCAUCAAGUGACGGUAACUACCCAGAAAGGGACGGCUAACUACGUGCCAGCAGCCGCGGUAAUACGUAGGUCCCGAGCGUUGUCCGGAUUUAUUGGGCGUAAAGCGAGCGCAGGUGGUUUAUUGAGUCUGGUGUAAAAGGCAGUGGCUCAACCAUUGUAUGCAUUGGAAACUGGUAGACUUGAGUGCAGGAGAGGAGAGUGGAAUUCCAUGUGUAGCGGUGAAAUGCGUAGAUAUAUGGAGGAACACCGGUGGCGAAAGCGGCUCUCUGGCCUGUAACUGACACUGAGGCUCGAAAGCGUGGGGAGCAAACAGGAUUAGAUACCCUGGUAGUCCACGCCGUAAACGAUGAGUGCUAGAUGUAGGGAGCUAUAAGUUCUCUGUAUCGCAGCUAA
rnacentral:rRNA from 1 species